GGGGAUGUAGCUCAGUGGCACAGUGCCUGCCUGGCAAGCACUGGGCCCUGAGUUCCAUUCCCAGCACCCA
rnacentral:tRNA from 1 species